UGCAGUCGAGCGGGAUCUUGUGGAAUGCGUCUUCGGACAAAUGAAGCAAGUGAGAGCGGCGGACGGGUGAGUAACGCGUGAGUAACCUGCCCUAUACAGGGGGAUAGCCAUUGGAAACGGUGAUUAAUACCCCAUAAGACCACGCCAUCGCAUGAUGAAGUGGUAAAAACUGAGGUGGUAUAGGAUGGACUCGCGUCUGAUUAGCUAGUUGGUGAGGUAAGGGCUCACCAAGGCGACGAUCAGUAACCGGCCUGAGAGGGUGAACGGUCACACUGGAACUGAGACACGGUCCAGACUCCUACGGGAGGCAGCAGUGGGGAAUAUUGCACAAUGGGGGAAACCCUGAUGCAGCGAUGCCGCGUGAACGAAGAAGGCUUUCGAGUCGUAAAGUUCUGUUCUUAGGGAAGAAAAUGACGGUACCUAAGGAGAAAGCACCGGCUAAAUACGUGCCAGCAGCCGCGGUAAUACGUAUGGUGCAAGCGUUGUCCGGAAUUACUGGGCGUAAAGAGUUCGUAGGCGGUCAAAUAAGUCAGGAGUGAAAGGCUACGGCUCAACCGUAGUGAGCUUUUGAAACUGUUUGACUUGAGUACUGGAGAGGAAAGUGGAAUUCCUAGUGUAGCGGUGAAAUGCGUAGAUAUUAGGAGGAACACCAGUGGCGAAGGCGGCUUUCUGGACAGUAACUGACGCUGAGGAACGAAAGCGUAGAUACCCUGGUAGUCCACGCCGUAAACGAUGAGAACUAGGUGUUGGUCGAACGAUCAGUGCCGCAGCUAACGCAAUAAGUUCUCCGCCUGGGGAGUACGAUCGCAAGAUUGAAACUCAAAGGAAUUGACGGGGGCCCGCACAAGCAGCGGAGCAUGUGGUUUAAUUCGAAGCAACGCGAAGAACCUUACCAGGUCUUGACAUCCCUCUGACAACUCUAGAGAUAGAGUCUUCCCUUCGGGGACAGAGGUGACAGGUGGUGCAUGGUUGUCGUCAGCUCGUGUCGUGAGAUGUUGGGUUAAGUCCCGCAACGAGCGCAACCCUUGUCUUUAGUUGCCAUCAUUAAGUUGGGCACUCUAAAGAGACUGCCGGGGAUAACUCGGAGGAAGGUGGGGAUGACGUCAAAUCAUCAUGCCCCUUAUGAUCUGGGCUACACACGUGCUACAAUGGAUGGUACAGAGGGCUGCGAAACCGCGAGGUGAAGCUAAUCUCAGAAAGCCAUUCUCAGUUCGGAUUGCAGGCUGCAACUCGCCUGCAUGAAGCUGGAGUUGCUAGUAAUCGCGGAUCAGAAUGCCGCGGUGAAUGCGUUCCCGGGCCUUGUACACACCGCCCGUCACACCAUGGGAGUUGAUAAUACCCAAAGUCGUUGAGCUAACCCGUAA
rnacentral:rRNA from 1 species